CCGGAUAGCCGGAGUUUUGUGGAUGUUCUUAAGGUCAAAGGUGAAGAGGACGACGAUAUUCUCAAGAAAGACAUACAAAACUUGAUCUCUCUGCUUAUGCCAGUGCUAGAGCAGAACAAAGAAAUUCUAAGAGCUUAUGGAUUGGAUAAGCUGAAAUCAACGUGAAGAUGAAUGUCCAAAUUUUGAUGGUUGGUGUAUGAAAUAUGAUGCCUCUUGUUUUAGGCCAAUGUACAGUGGAAAUAUUGUGUAUAAUAGUAACCUCUUUUUUUUUAUUUCUCUAGUUUUUAACAUAUCCUCUGUUUGUUGUACACAAAACUUUGUCAUGGGCGUUCUUUUAAUUCGUCUCAUGAGUGUUUACACAUGUUGAGAUAGAGAAAUGAAUUGAGUUGUGUUACAAUUUUCAA